AUGACAGUUGCCAUUGUUCUACACGUUUGUUAUAUUUUCAACAUUGAAAAUAGCCCCAUUUACAGACCGGGCCUUGGAGACAGAAAGACUUGGCCAAAGUCACUGCAUAGUUAAUAACAAUUAGAACUCCAGAGUGAUGGCUUGUGAAUCAUUAGUUUAUUAUCACAUCUGUAGACAUGGGGAGUUUAUCCUUCUAUAGGCUCUUCUUCUUAUAGGCUGCUGAUAUGCAGAUCUCACUGAUUACCAUUUUGUUUAAAAAAUAACUUACUGACAUCAGAUGCUGGUAUAAUCCAAACUACCAGAGAAUGAGGAUGAGAAGGUCUGGGUUUGAGGCCAGCUGCAGUAGAAAAGCCCACACAGCCCCUUCUCAACCCUAGUGAAGUGCAAUGGCAUUGCCUGUUAUCCUAGGCUAUGUGGGAGACUGGAACUGGGAAGACUGUGGCUCCAGGCUAUGCUGGGCAGGAAAGUCUGUCAGACUCCAUUGAAUGAAUAGAAGCAGGAUGCAGUGGCAUACACCUGUCAGCCCAGCAAAGCCAGGAAGCCUAAUAAGGGCAAAUUGUAGUCAAGGCACUCAUCAUGGCAGGAAAGGAGACUGUAUCUCAAACAUAACCAGGAAAAACAGGACAGGAGACAUGAUGUAGCAAUAGAGUUUCUGCCUAGUAAGAGGUAGGCCCUGGAGUUCAAACUCCAGUACUGCAAAAGCAAAAUAAAACAAACAAGAAAAGCCGAUUGCAGUCACAUACCCCUUAAACAACGAGAAAGAUAUCUCCUAUGAAAGUGCCCAUAGGAAAUUUCAUCAUUAUACAGACACCCCAGGUGGUACUUUCAUGAACAGUAAUGGUCUGGGUCAAUUGUUCAAUGUGAUCAAGAGGCACAGCAGAAGCGAGAUGUGUAUGGCUGAUUCUGGCAUAUCACUACACACUUUAAGGAACACAAGUAGAAGGAACACACUCUAAAACAACAAGUAAACAUACAACAUGGUAAUGGUAUAAACCAGUACCAUGAGUACCAUUGUCAUCUUCACUAGUGCUGUACUGUGUCUAAUUGUACCCACAACAGUGACAGCACAGGAGGCUGUUGAACCCAACAUUGGCACACAACACACAUGAACAUUGCACUGCCACUGCGACAUUACCAUGGCAACAGAGCCACUGAGUAGCAGGAAGUUUUCAGUUCUGUUAUAAUAAUAUGGCAUGCCCAUAGUACAUAUGGCCCAUAGUUAACCAAAUUGUGGCAGUUUUUUUGGUUGCUGUUGUUUUGGUCUGUUUUACAUACACAUUCCUGUAAUGAGUUCUUCACAGAGAUUGAAAGAUGCAGUAACUAAAAAAGAAAACGCAAAAUAAAUGCAAACAAACAAUCCACACCCCUGUGUGCAAUGAUACUGUCUUGAAGGGUCCCCUUCCAGGCUGUUUCUUGGCAAGUUCCUGUUACUUAAAAUUACAGUUGUGUCACAUAGUGACUGUGUGUCAUUUGCCAGUUGUGGCUGUAGUGGUCUAUAAGUGGUAGUGUUAUUUGUAUAACUGUGUGGCUGGGCUUUAUAUUAUAGAGGGUUUUUAAGCUAGAAACUGAUCAAGCCAGGUACUAGUGUCUCAUACUUGUAAUCCAAGCUACUUAGGACUCUGAGAUCUGAGUAGCACAGUUUGAAGCCAGCCUUGGUAAGAAACUUUGUGAGAUUCUUAUUUCUAAGUAACAGAAAUCUGGAAGUGGAUCUGUGUCUCAAGUGGUAGAACACUGGCCUUAAGUGAAAAAGCUAAGAAACAGAGCUCAAGCCCUGAGUUCAAGCCCCAACACCAGCACAUUAUACAUAGAUAGACAGAUUUGAUUAUUUAGGAAAUGUGUCUCUCCUUUGCCUUUCAGAUGGUGCAGAAUUUCCAAGAUGAGUCAUGUUUUAUUCUCAGCACAUUGAAAGCCGAGAGCAAUGAUGGAUACCACAUCAUCCUGAAAUGUGGACUGUGAGCAGAAGUAAGACGUGCACCUACUCCAGUCCCAUGGACCCCUGGGAUGUUAGAAAUGUCACCACUGUUUGCUGAUGUCUCACCUGACAAGCUGAGGCUAGAAGCAACCCUGCCUGCCCCAAUCCAUGAAAGCUACAGAUGAUCAACCAGCAGAAACCGUGGAUACAAAGGCCAGCAUGCUGAAAGCCAAUGGCUUCACUUGCUUCCUCUUCGUCUCCAGUGUUGGAACAGUUUUUUGUUCUGUUUCUCAACUUUGAUUCUCUAAAAGAGGCAAACAGUGGGGUUAUCUCUGAUAUCCAAGCCCCUUAGGUGGAAGCUCAUUGGGUAUCUUGGUGCCACCUCUAUUGGUCCCUUCUGCCCACUCUCCUGCCUUCAAAGCCAUCCUCACCCUGUGCCUUUUCCUCCUUCCCCAGUGCUGGCUUCCUGGCCAGCUCUGCUGACCUGAUGCACUUUGACCCUUUGUUCUUCACUUUCUUCCUCUCUCAGUGACCAGUGGACUGGAGUUGUUCUGUGCCUUCCCCUUUGUACCUUUACCUCGUUUCUAAGGAUCUGCUGCUGCCCAGACCAGAGCUGUGUUCAUGUUUCUGCAUUGGCGUAAUGGGUAGAUAUCGCUAUGUACUGGUACAGUCUGUCUUCUGGAGCUAGCUCCAGGGACAGGAGGUGGGGUGGAAAAAGAAAGAUGCCUUCACAUACAUCCUUGCAUUGAUGAGAACAAAAUGAUUCCUCUUGAGCUGCUUUUGGUUAAGUUCUCUUUCCAAAGAAGUUAUGGGUAAGAAUGACCCAGAAAUAAGCAUUCCUUUAUAUUAGCAGGUGACCUUGACCAUUAAAGUAGCAGACUUUGGGGUUAAGGGAUGUAUAGCUUGGUGGGAUAGCAUUUGCUUAGCAUGUGUGAGCCUCUGUGUUCCAUCCCCAACACUGUAAAACAGGCAACCCAAUACAGGACUUGUAAAGUUCCACCUAGAGAAGGCUUCAGUUAAUCAC